ACCAGAUUUCCAUUUCUUUCAGCACACCACUGUGGCCCUGGGAGAGUGUCUGUGAACCCAACUCAAGAACAGCUUGCUUCAUGUUUCUCUGAGGCACAUGAUGUGGUGGGUGAGGUCGGCUGCUCUGAUGGCACCUCUUCCAAGCGAUGAAAAACACGGAAAGGACUCUGCUCCAAAUUAAGGGAAACAUGGCAGCUUUGGAGGCCCACAGAUUGGCUAGGCAUGGUGUCUGCAAACUCCCCACUAAAGCGUCAUCUUGUGGAAUGUCAAGCAUGGCUUUGACCAGUACCCUCUUCGUAAGAGAACCUUCCCACAAGAAAACCAGAAGGUAAAGCUGCGUUCAGGGAGUACCACCUACAUAUGAGGAAGCCAGUGAGUUGUAAGCAGCAGUCAUGAGAGGCUUCAAGAAGAGCUCUUUAAAGGGAUUAACUCAGUUAGAUCCAUUUUGCCUGUCUGCUCUACCCCUUCAUUUCUGCCUGAAACUUAGUUGUGAUGGCUGGAGUUUUUGCAACCAUGCUGUAAUCAGGAGUCUGGGCUGCGGGUGACAUAAAGCUGCCAUCAAGUCCUGGAUGGUCUAUCCUUGGACCUAUCAUAUAAGAAUGAAAACCAAAUGUCUUUAAGAAGAUAUCCGGGGAGACUUUGCUAUGACAACUGCAGUAGCUUAAAGAUGACCACAGAUUCUUUUCCCCUCUUACCAUAGAGCGGUAGAAUCUGUUUCCCUUAUCUUUAAAUCUGGGCUAGCCCUGUGGCCUGUUCUGACCAAUAGGAUGUGGCACCUGUGAUAUCUGCUGGGUCUAGGCUUUAAGGUAUCUGCCACUUCCGCCUCUGCCACUUAGAACAUCCCCUGUCAGAACCCAGCGGUCUUGCUUGAGAAAUCCAAGCCAGAUGACGAGACCAUGUGGAGAAAAACUGAGACACUCUGUUUGUUAGGAGUUAGUUGGACAGUGAGGUAGUCAGGGCCAGGGUCCCCAGCAAGAAUAUACGGAGUCAGGAUAGCUAAAAUAAAACAGCACUGACAUCCUGUUUUGCAGCUCAGAUACGAGUGCACUGACAUUCUGCUAUGCAGCCUUUGCAGAAAUGACUUCUGCAAAACAUCCUAAAAUAAGACAAUUAACCAUAAAAGCAUUUGUCAAUAUCACAGGCAAAAGGCAGUUAAGACCUAAGCCCCCAGAUGUCAGCAAAAAAAGGACCAUCAGCACGUGGACAUUAACCUAAUAGGUAGACAGAUACGUGACCAAAGCCCUGACUGGCAUGACUCAGCACACCCUGAUUGCUUAAGGAAGUUCCCCAAAAGACCUCAUAAAAACCCCUACACUUAGAAACUCAGAGGACAACCCACUCGGGUCCCCCUCUCUCUCCGGGAGCUUUGUGCUCUUGCUCAAUAAACGUUGCUUUGCUGCC